CCCAGCUUUAGGAAAAUCACUUUGGUGGCUGGAUGGAAGAUGGGAGGGCGUGGGGAGACACUCACGGCAGGCAGACCCACCUGGAGCGAUGGCAGAGGCCCACGUAUAGGGGCAUUCGCUUCGAUCCCGAAAUUCCCCAGACGCUGAGGCUAGAGUUUGCCAAGGCAAACACAAAGAUGGCAAAAAACAAACUCGUCGGGACCCCGAACCCCAGCACUCCUCUGCCCAGUACCGCCCCUCAGUUCAUCGCCAGGGAGCCGUAUGAGCUCACAGUGCCUGCACUUUAUCCCAGCACCCCCGAAGUGUGGGCCCCGUACCCUCUGUACCCAGCGGAGUUGACGCCUGCCCUGCCCCCUCCUGCUUUCACCUAUCCCGCUUCACUGCAUGCCCAGGUCCCCUGGCCCCAACCUGUGUCAGGGAUUCUGUCCCCUCUCCCCUUCCUUCACCACCUGUCUCAGGAAGGCCACUCCAGCUCUGCUCUUUGCUUAAUGAGCAAAUGGAUUCAGAUGCACAAAGCCGUGAACCAUGGAUGCGCUGGUUCCCUCCCUCCGAGGCUACUUCUCAGGGCUGGAAGUCCCGUCAGUUCUGCUGAACACUGUGUACCAGGUGUGUGAUGGCGGCUAUGCUUUGUCUUGUGGGUAUUGAUACAAUCUUCGGCAGUGGCUGCUGGUUUCGUGAGCUGUUUUUUAAGACUGCAGCUUACUGGCUUGAAUGAAGCAUCACCUGGUUUAAUUCCUCCAAGACUUUGCCACAGCCUCUAUCACACAUCUGUACUUGUCGAAGAAAAAGUAUAAUAAUAAAUAAACAUGUUUUUUCUCUUUUACACUGUAUAAUAUAAGAAAUAGUGUUUCUGUGAAUGCGUGGCCUGCCAUCCGUUGCUGGACUCUGAACGAAGUUUUAAACAUCACGUAAACACGCAGCAGGAGAGCGUCCUUCACGCUGAUCGUCGUAAGGCCGCCUGGACAAGCAUACACUGGGUUGGAUCACAGUUUUUGUGUUUGACGCUUGAACACUUAGAAUUAAAAUUUCUGUUUGUGCCCCUCUUAAGCCGCGUGUUUGGGGAAUUUAUAAAAAUCGUAUCAGCUCUUUUGUAUGGUGAGUUUAUGUAUUUUUGUCGCUCUGGUUUGAGUCUUGGGGAAGGUCCCACAUGGUGUGCGUGUCAGACCCAAAGUUGUAGGGAGUUGGGGAGUUAGCUUUUAACUCCCAGUUCUGCUAGCUGAUUUAGGCCAGACAGUCUGGAUCGUUGGCCAGGGAAGCUUCUUUUCUUGGUACGUUCACAGCCAGACGAGCCGAUGUUUCUGGGUCUCAGCCCCAUAGCUAGGGAGUUGUGCCAGUACCAAGCCACAGGGUCGUUCCAGACUGGGUGGGUCGUUAUCAUCCCCCUUACGGAGGCACACCCAGGGGAAGGGAAGAGCCCUUCAUUCUCUUGCAGUCAGAAACCUUGGCUGACCCAGGCCUCUCAGUGCCCUGCACCGGGUUCUGCAAACAUUAGGCCAGGUUUCUGGAUCUUUGGCAGCCCGAACCAAACAUAAUCCUGUUUUCUAUUCAUGAGAAAAUGCCAGCCCAGCACAGAAGGCGCUGGUGUGAACCCUGUGGAGCGCCACGUCUCGAGAGAGACCUCCUCAGAACCAGUCGUGACUCUGCUUUUGGUCCUAAGUUUGUUUGAGCAGCUUGUCUGAUACUUUAGAGGCUAAUAAACAUGUUCACCAUUUUA